rnacentral:rRNA from 1 species
AUUGAACGCUGGCGGCAGGCCUAACACAUGCAAGUCGAACGGUAACAGGAAGCAGCUUGCUGCUUUGCUGACGAGUGGCGGACGGGUGAGUAAUGUCUGGGAAACUUCCCGAUGGAGGGGGAUAACUACUGGAAACGGUAGCUAAUACCGCAUACCGUCGCAAGACCAAAGAGGGGGACCUUAGGGCCUCUUGCCAUCGGAUGUGCCCAGAUGGGAUUAGCUAGUAGGUGGGGUAACGGCUCACCUAGGCGACGAACCCUAGCUGGUCGGAGAGGAUGACCAGCGACACUGGAACUGAGACACGGUCCAGACUCCGACGGGAGGCAGCAGUGGGGAAUAUUGCACAAUGGGCGCAAGCCUGAUGCAGCCAUGCCGCGUGUAUGAAGAAGGCCUUCGGGUUGUAAAGUACUUUCAGCGGGGAGGAAGGGAGUAAAGUUAAUACCUUUGCUCAUUGACGUUACCCGCAGAAGAAGCGCCGGCUAACUCCGUG